UGGGCACUGAAGCUCCUGAACAGGGAGCA
rnacentral:sRNA from 1 species